rnacentral:lncRNA from 1 species
AGGCUUGCAGCUAGAGGUGACCAUGUCAUGUAGCAAAUAGAUGUAAAUAGUGAUGUAGGUACCCAGUGAGAUAUAGGAUAUAAGUAGGUGUCUGCUUAUAUCCUAUGAAGGGGUGGAGAAUUCCGGAAAAUGUUUACUUUCCUGAUAAAAGGAGACACACGUUUUAACCAUUUUUUCCUUCUCUCUUCCUUGAAUGCAACUGUGAUAUCGAAAACAUGACAACCAUGUUGUGACCAUGAGAUGACAAGCAGGGGACAAAAUCCAUGUGCUAAAGACGGCCAAACGCAUCUGGGAAGACACUACUGAGCAACCGAGUUGACUCCAGCAGUGACUGACCCUCCCCUCCCGAUUUCCUGGCAUGUGAGAAAAACGCCACCCACUCUCUAUUUAGUUAGGAAAACUGCUCUACCUGGCUUUAGGGGCAUCUGUAACUUGGUGCCAUCCUGGAUGGUCACUCAUUUCUCACCACUCCCAAAUGUCAUUUGUGCUUUAGUUUCUAUUCCAAGCACAGUGUGAUGGAAAGAACCAUAAAAAUAAAAAGAAACAAAAAAAAGGAAGCAUAUCUUAACUGUCACAGAAGAUCCAGUUUAGCCUCAGAUAGACCUGGAUUCCAAUUCCAGCUCUGUGGGACCUGGAGCAAGUGACUUGAAAAUCUCUUCAAGCCUCAAUUUCUUCAUCUGUAAAAACUUGAGAAUAAUAGUUCUAUACAGUGUUGUGAUGAGUACGAAAUAAAA